GAAUUUUGCGCAAUGGGCGAAAGCCUGACGCAGCAACGCCGCGUGAAGGAUGAAGGCUUUCGAGUCGUAAACUUCUGUCUGGGGGAAAGAUGAUGACGGUACCCCCAAAGCAAGCCCCGGCUAAUUCCGUGCCAGCAGCCGCGGUAAUACGGAAGGGGCGAGCGUUGUUCAGAAUUAUUGGGCGUAAAGGGCGUGUAGGCGGCUUCAUAUGUCCGUGGUGAAAGCAUACGGCUCAACCGUAUUAAGCCUUGGAAACUGUGGAGCUUGAGACUGGGAGGGGCUGGUGGAAUUCCCUGUGUAGCGGUGAAAUGCGUAGAGAUGGGGGAGAACACUCGUGGCGAAGGCGGCCAGCUGGACCAGUACUGACGCUGAGACGCGAAAGCGUGGGGAGCAAACAGG
rnacentral:rRNA from 1 species